AUAAGCGGAGGAAAAGAAACCAACCGGGAUUGCCCUAGUAACGGCGAGUGAAGCGGCAAGAGCUCAAAUUUGAAAGCUGGCCCCCUCGGGGUCCGCAUUGUAAUUUGCAGAGGAUGCUUCGGGAACGGCCCCCAUCUAAGUGCCCUGGAACGGGCCGUCAUAGAGGGUGAGAAUCCCGUCUGGGAUGGGGUGGCCGCGCCCGUGUGAAGCUCCUUCGACGAGUCGAGUUGUUUGGGAAUGCAGCUCUAAUUGGGUGGUAAAUUUCAUCUAAAGCUAAAUAUUGGCCGGAGACCGAUAGCGCACAAGUAGAGUGAUCGAAAGAUGAAAAGCACUUUGAAAAGAGAGUUAAACAGCACGUGAAAUUGUUGAAAGGGAAGCGCUUGCGACCAGACUCGCCCGCGGGGUUCAGCCGGCACUCGUGCCGGUGUACUUCCCCGCGGGCGGGCCAGCGUCGGUUUGGGCGGCCGGUCAAAGGCCUCUGGAAGGUAACGCCUCUCGGGGCGUCUUAUAGCCAGGGGUGCCAUGCGGCCUGCCCGGACCGAGGAACGCGCUUCGGCUCGGACGCUGGCAUAAUGGUCGUAAGC
rnacentral:rRNA from 1 species